GACAGAGGGUGCAAACGUUGUUCGGAAUUACUGGGCGUAAAGCGUGUGUAGGCGGCUACGUAAGUCGGAUGUGAAAGCCCCAGGCUCAACCUGGGAAGUGCACUCGAUACUGCGUAGCUUGAGUAUCGGAGAGGUUGGUGGAAUUCUCGGUGUAGAGGUGAAAUUCGUAGAUAUCGAGAGGAACACCGGUGGCGAAGGCGGCCAACUGGACGAAUACUGACGCUGAGACACGAAAGCGUGGGGGAGCAAACAGG
rnacentral:rRNA from 1 species